rnacentral:tRNA from 1 species
UCCCUAGUGGCUCAGUUGGUAAAGAAUUUGCCUGCAAUGCAGGAGACCUGGGUUUGAUCCCUAGGUUGGGAA